AAGGAUCUCCCAGACUCUAGCAAAGACAAAAAUUUAUUGAAGAAUCCAGAUAUUGUAACUAGAAAAGGCAGACCAAAAAAUAUGCAAAAAAGUAGAAGGAUGGUUUCGUAUGGAGAGAUGGUACGGACUAAGAAACAAAUAACAUGUAGCACUUGUGGAUCUCAUGAACAUAACAAAGCAACAUGCAGUAAGCAACCAGGAGAAGGAGAGGCUGUAAAGAAGAAAACAACAGCAAAAAAAACAGCCAACAAACACAACAACUGCAAUAAUACAGGUGACAGGCAGCAAGGGCGAUCGAGAUUACUCAUGCUGAAAAAGACAAUCUAGAAACAAAAAGUGAUGUUUGAAUAAUAUGACUAGCAUUAUCAGAUGUAUAAUGUAUUUGAGUUAAAAUAUUUACUAAAGACAUUUGAGAAAUGUAAUUUUGAGAAAAAGCAGCAAGAAGACAUUACUUGCAAGCUGUUAUCUUUUCUAGAUUGUGUGUACUGAAAAAGACAAUUACAACUAUAAUAUUUGUGCUACAUGGGCCAGUUGACAUUA